rnacentral:tRNA from 3 species
GCCGGGGUGGCCGAGCGGCCCAAGGCGCGGGACUUGAGAUCCCGUCCCCGUCCAGGGGGCGUGGGUUCAAAUCCCACCCCCGGCGCCA